rnacentral:lncRNA from 1 species
GCUAUUUCCUCAAUAAUUCAUCAGUUGUCCCUUCUACUCUGUCCUGAGCUAUCUCUCAUCAUAUUAACCAGGUCACAGACAAGGUCUCAGCUGUGUCCACAGUGUUGUAUACCUACAGAAAUGAGGGCCUCUGUUAACCAAAAAAAUUACUCUGUUAACCAAAAGUUAUAUACAAGAAUGUGCACAUCUAGAAACAACCUACGUGUCCAUCAGCAGAACGGAUAAACAAGCUGUGGUAUUAGACUCUUAUACAGCAGUGAGAAUGGGAACUAUGAACCAUAGCUAUAUACAACAUUGUGAAGGAAUUUCACAAAUGUAAUGUUGAAUGAAAAUAAGCCAAAAAUAAAAAGUAUAUGUUGUUUGGUUCCAUUUAUUUAAAGUUAAGACAUUGCCACAAUUAAAAGUCC